rnacentral:rRNA from 1 species
UACGGAGGGUGCAAGCGUUAUCCGGAUUUACUGGGCUUAAAGCGCGCGUAGGUGGGUUGGUAAGUCAGUGGUGAAAUCUUCGAGCUUAACUCGGAAACUGCCAUUGAUACUAUUAAUCUUGAAUUAUCUGGAGGUAAGCGGAAUAUGUCAUGUAGCGGUGAAAUGCUUAGAUAUGACAUAGAACACCCAUUGCGAAGGCAGCUUACUACGGAUAUAUUGACACUGAGGCGCGAAAGCGUGGGGAUCAAACAGG